UACGUAGGUGGCGAGCGUUGUCCGGAUUUAUUGGGCGUAAAGCGCGCGCAGGCGGUCGCGUAAGUCUGCUGUGAAAUCUCCCUGGCUCAACCGGGAGGGGGCGGCGGAGACUGCGGGACUGGAGGGACCUAGAGGCCGGUGGAAUUCCCGGUGUAGUGGUGAAAUGCGUAGAUAUCAGGAGGAACACCUGUGGCGAAAGCGGCUCACUGGACCACAACUGACGCUGAGGCGCGAAAGCUAGGGGAGCAAACAGG
rnacentral:rRNA from 1 species